rnacentral:rRNA from 1 species
UGGGGAAUAUUGGACAAUGGGCGAAAGCCUGAUCCAGCCAUGCCGCGUGUGUGAAGAAGGUCUUCGGAUUGUAAAGCACUUUAAGUUGGGAGGAAGGGCAUUAACCUAAAACGUUAGUGUUUUGACGUUACCGACAGAAUAAGCACCGGCUAACUCUGUGCCAGCAGCCGCGGUAAUACAGAGGGUGCAAGCGUUAAUCGGAAUUACUGGGCGUAAAGCGCGCGUAGGUGGUUUGUUAAGUUGGAUGUGAAAUCCCCGGGCUCAACCUGGGAACUGCAUUCAAAACUGACUGACUAGAGUAUGGUAGAGGGUGGUGGAAUUUCCUGUGUAGCGGUGAAAUGCGUAGAUAUAGGAAGGAACACCAGUGGCGAAGGCGACCACCUGGACUAAUACUGACACUGAGGUGCGAAAGCGUGGGGAGCAAACA